ensembl:snRNA U4 U4 spliceosomal RNA
AGCUUUGCACAGUGGUAGUAUCAUAGCCAAUAAGGUUUAUCAGAGGAGCGAUUAUUGCUAAUUGAAAACUUUUCCCAAUACCCCACCAUGACAACUUGAAAUGUAGUCGGCAUUGGCAAUUUCUGGCAGUCUCUAUGGGA